GACAUAUGGUUCAGCAGACACUAAUGAGAAGGCAGUGGCCAGCUGAAUCUCCACGGUAACAAAAGAGGCUGGGACAUCUGGAGUCAGCCACACACAGACUCCUGUCCCUCUGUCACGAUACACAGGAUUAGGAACAACCAAUGGUAAAUUCAUCAAAGGCAGAAGGAAUCAACACAGUGCAGUAUGAUCUGGGAACACACACACAAAGGAGCAGUCGAAAUGAGGGGACCAGGAGAUGAUUUAGAUUCGACUUGGAAAAAGGAGACAGCAUCAGAGAUAAUCCAAGGAGCUUAUGGUCGGUUUCCCAAGAUUACUUAUGGAGCCUUGUGAUUACUAAACUGGAACAACAGGGCUUUCCUGAGAGCUCCUGAUCAAAGCACAGCCCAUUUUCUGCUUGACUGUGGCUUCCGCUUGAAAGAGGAAGAUCCAGACACUGAAGGAACAGGAGCGUUCAGCUGUGUCUGUAUUGUGCUCAAAGCUUCCAUCUAGUGGUCAUGACUCUCCUCCGAUUUGUAGCUUGACGAGUUUCUCAGCAUCUUUUUUGCAUUUACACAUGACUGUAAAAAGAUCUUGAUAUAACAUUUGAACAUAUACCUUUAAUAGCUACAUCAAGAAAAACUGUACAGGAGAUAAUCCAAUAACACCAUAUGUGUUAAAAGUGU
rnacentral:lncRNA from 1 species